AGGGUAUUUAUGAGACCAAAUCUGUGAUAUAUGUCUUCAUAUGUUUGUACGUACACUCAAGUAUUAUCAUAUAUACAGUAAGAAAUCACAAUAGGGGAUAAGGUACAUGUUGAAAGAUUGCAUCUUUUCCUGGAAUAUUAGUCCUCUUUGAGUAUUUAGAAGACUACAUGCAUUAUAGUUAAUCAAAGCUUCAAAGUUGCUGUGUCAAGUGAGGAUGCUGAUUGACCGAGUGGGUAAAUUCUUUUGUUUUACACAAGAGACCUUGGUUCGGCCCUGCCCUCACUUCAGUACUUGGCUGCAACAAGUCAAGUAUGCAAUAAGUAAUGAAACGUUAAAACUAGAAAACUACACCAACAGUAAGUCUUCUUUUUGUUCAAGAAAAGAAUAAUUUCUACCAAACAAUAUUGCAUCAGACCUCAAUGUUAAGUUUUUUGAGAUAGUGAACACAGUUUCCAAGAAAAAGAAUCAGAAAAAAAAACAUGUUCUACACCUGCAUCUCCAACUUAUUAAGAUUUUCUAGUUAAUAUUAUGAUGAGAAUUUUUUUUUUUUUUUUUCUUUUUUUUUUUUGAGGUGGGGGAGUUUGGUAGUAGAAUAAUGCUCUAUUAUUAUUUUCCAAACCACUAGCUAGCAUGUUUAUUUUUAUUGCUAGUGGAGAAGCAAGGGGUUAUAUGCAAGAGCAAACAUCCUGGAGCAUCAGUCAGGUAUGUUUGUCUGUAUGCAACAAUUGUGUGUGUUUCAUACUCCCUUAUCCUUAAAAAAUGGAACAAAAAAAAAGAAUAAACAAUUGUGGUUGAACUGAUAUCAAGAAUAAUAGCAAUACUCUCAAAGAAAUACAAUAGAAAUCCAAGAUGAUUGCAUCGUAGGGGCGCAUAUACAAUAUAUGUGAUGGAAAAGUAAAGACAUGUUCAUGAUCAGAGAUUUCAUCACUAGGGAUCCACCAAUCAUAAGGAACAAUACUUCGAGAACCUUGAUGGGAGAAAUCCUAUUUGAGGGAACAUUAAUCAACACUUCAAUAAAGAUCAGAAACCUCAUCAAUUCUGAGCCACUACAUGAACAGGAUGAUCAAUUCAGAGAAUGGGAUCGAAGAUCGUUAUGGGUGACCAAAUAUCAUGAGUUCUCACAGGGCCCAAAUUAACAAGGAAAUAAAGUGGGGGAGCUGGCCACAUAAAUGGGCCUCCCAUUGAAAAGCAGCCAUUUUAUGGACUUACUACAUGCUUAGUCAAAAGGAGAGGCACAUGUGCAAGGGGACAAUAAGGAAGCUGCUAGUUUCCAGCAGUCCAAGCCUCGCAAUGAGGUUAAAAGAUCAGAUCUUUCAUAAUCUAGUUAAAGAGCAAUAUAUGAAGAUAUGGCCACUAUCAAAGCCAUUACAACAAGACAUCGCAGAAAAGGUCCACAAUCUUGGUAUCGGAGACCGUACUAGUCAGGUAGGUACUAGUAAGGUAUGGUAUUGAGUCAAACAGUACAAGCACUCAUUACACAAAUCCAUACCAGUUCGAUAUUGGUUCACUAUUUUUUACCUUUUUUGUUUUCUCAAUUUUUUGAUUUUUGAGAUUAUUUUAAGGUUUAUGAUCUUUAAAAUAUUAUUUUAAGUGUGUUUUAAUAUUAUUUUAUUUCAUAUUGGUCUCUAGAGACUGUAUGAUUGUCUAAUGGAUAUAACUGUAGGACUUAAACAUAGGUUUGUAAUAAUUAGAUAUAGGCAACAGAUUUUUUUGAGCUUGCAAAUGCAUAUAUCAAGUUUAUGUGAAUUACAAAAUACAUACUAACAUCUAGUCCCUCAUAAAGUAUCUAAAUCACUUGUAGGUAUAGAUUGUUCAUAGUCAAGAUCUUGGACAUGACUCCAAUGCAGUCCAACCCAACAUCCAAUAAUCUAAGCCUCCUGGAUAGCUACUUUGAUAUAGAUCCUUUGUCUGAUACUGCAUAACCAUCCUACUCCUAAGGAAAAAUCACAGCAACAAUAUCUGAUCCAAAAUCUAACUAAGACUGUGGAGGAUGGUCGCCACUCGAAUAUAAUGCCUAAGAUCCAUAAUUCGACCCCUAACUCCACAACAUAUCAUGAAAUCAUGCCACAUUACAGAAUUUUCUGCUUUUAUCAGUUUUUCACCUAUUUUAGAUAUGAAAAAAAGAGAGAAAAGGAAUGAAGAGGAGGGAGAGGAUUAUACCUAAUUAGACUUGGAUUUGAUCUCAAAAUCAACGAAUCCCUCUUUUCUGAUUUUUACUUACAAAACCCACCAUUGGAAGCUAUCUUUUUGAAGAAAAGAGUAUGGUCUUCUCCACUCUUAUAACCAGCGUGGCCAGAACUACCUUGAACCGAGCAGUACUGGGCAAUUCUGCUUAAUUUUGGGUGGUUCAGACUGGUUCAGGCCAAUUACCAACUUGAAUCCACACCAAUUCAGGUUGAUAUAUCCCAAACCGGAUGGUUUGGGUCAGUUUGGCAGAUCACGAUCACAAGGAAAUGAAAGCCUCCCCUCGUAGGAAUCAACCAUGACAUCAAUUAUGGUGAUUGGCAAAUUGGCAAUCCACUAGACAUAUCUAACAUGUCUCUUGCAACAACUAUUAAGGUCUGAUGAACAUAUUAGGAUGCCAAAGAAGAUAGGUAAUUAGGAAAAAAGAGACCAAAGGGGUAAAAAAAGUCAAGCUAUCUAGUGGAUCAUAUUGAGACAUGAUAGCAUUCUCCAACUCCCAUUUUGCCUUGAUUGGAAAGACAUUUUCAGAACGUGAAUUGGGAAAGGCUUGAUCAUUCAGAUUAACUAGACCCACAAAGAAUAUAUGAACUGUAGCACAUUGUUCCUAAAUUUUCAUUAAUAAGGAUUAAUCGACUGAGUGCCAACCAACUUCUGCUUUUGAACUUCGAGAUGCUCAAGUUUAAACAUCAACAGGGUAUCCAAAAGCUUGGACUCAGUAAUACUGUACCAAAUCAUUUUGUUGGGUAUUGACAAGCAAAGAGAACCAUCCAAAUGGAGGAUGACAUAAAACAACUUGUAUAUUUUCGUAUCCAUUAGCCUUAUAUCCAAUCCAUUAGCCCAAAUGGGACGUAAAUGAGAGUGGCCAAGAGAUUAGACACCUAGCCAACUUUAUUUCAUAAAGUUUAGACCUGGGAGAAGGCAACAAUAAAACUAAAGACAUGAAUCCUGUAAUGAUCCAGGUCCCAAUAACGAUUAAAAAAAAAAUAGUUCAUUUUUGUUGAUGAUACUUGGACAAGCCACUGUUAACCUAGCAUCUACCUUGCCAAUAUCAAAGCUUAGGAAACUACUAGAACUGUUAUAUACACAACACUUAAUAUUUAGAAAUUUUGAUUUUAGAAACAUGCAUCUUUGUUUUCAGAAUACUUAGAAAUUUUGAUUUUAGAAAACUGUAUCUCUAUUUUCAGUUUAAAUGGAAUGCCUAGAUGCCUUAAGAUACUAAUGUUACCAUCAAUUCUUUUUUUGAAGAAACAAUCAACAAGAUUUGUUCAUCAUGCUUGCGUCAAUGUAUGUCGUCACUGUCUUCACUGGCAUAAACAACUGCUCGUCAGUUUUAUCAUUUGUUGCAACUGAGCGCAUCGUUCUGUACCGAGAAAUUUCAGCAGGAAUCUAUCCUCCAUGGGCCUACUCAAUUGCACAGGUUUACCAGCCAUACUUGUGCAUAGAUCAGCAUCUCCUAUCAUAUCUAUAUAGAAGGAUAAUUUUCUCCUGAACUUGGACCAAGUAACCUUUUUAUAUUAUUUUCUUUCAGGUGGUCAUUGAGAUCCCUUAUGUACUCCUUCAGGUAGUAUUAUUUAUGAUCAUAGCAUAUCCAGCAAUCGGCUAUUACUGCACAGCAUACAAAUUCUUCUGGUUUGCUUACACCAUGUUCUGCACAUUGCUCUACUACACAUACCUUGGAAUGUUGCUCGUUUCAUUGACACCAAACGUUCAAGUGGCUACUGUGUUGUCAUCUUUCUGCUACACCUUGCUAAAUCUCUUCUCAGGAUUCAUAGCACCAGGUCCAGUAAGUUAGCCUCUCCUAUUUCCUUAUGACCUAUAGACAUUAUAUAAGAACUAUAAUAGCUCCAUCUAAUGGUAUUGUGUAUUACAUAGAAUGAUACCUCUGAUGCAGACAAAUCAGAAGUACACUUGCAUCAUAUUUUGCCAUCCAUAUGUUCCAUGCCAGUAUUAGGUACUGUGAUAGAGAAUCAAAAAGAUAGAAGGCUCAAACCCAAGGGCAACAAGCAAAGAGAUGCUUUUGUUCAUUUAUAAAUUGACUACUGGGAUUGCAUGCAAUGGUCUUUCAACUUUGCAACCCUUCAAGAUCCAAUGACAUCAUGCAUUUAAAGACAUGCUUUUAUAUACAUGUCUGCAUUAGAAAGCCAUGUGAUAUUCAGCUGUGUAAUACAGAAUUCUUAAAUUCAUAGAAUAAAUUCAUUUUUAUAGCAACUUAUAUUUGUUACAUAAAACUGACCGAUGUUCACUUCCUGGCAGCAAAUUCCAAAGUGGUGGAUAUGGGUAUAUUACAGCAGCCCCAUGUCCUGGACACUGAAUGGCCUCUUCACUUCACAAUAUGGAGAUAUAGACAAGCAGAUAAUGGUAUUUGGAGAAACAAAGCCACUUGCUUCCUUCUUGAAAGAUUAUUUUGGGUUCCACCAUGAUCGUUUAGGACUGGUGGCUGUUAUGCUUAUUGCCUUCCCUCUCAUGUAUGCUAUACUUUUUGCUUAUUUUAUAGGAACACUGAAUUUCCAAAGGAGGUAAAAAGGAAAAACCUUACGGUAUAGUUGUAAAGAUUUAUCUGCACUUUAACAUGAUUGGUUAUCAUAGAAAGAUUUAUAUUUUAGAAUAGGCAAUAUGUUUCUGCAAGACUUGAUAAUAUGCCAUGACUAUAAUCUUGUUUGCAGAGAAUCUCCAAACUAAGUUUGGUUAUCCGUGCACCUUGGACAGACAUGCAGUAAACGAAGAUAAAUGAUUUUUUUAAGGAGGAAUUAAGCCUACAACAAUUGUAGCAGAGAGAACUAAUUCACUCCUUUCCCUAAUAAAUCUCUCAGCCAUAUAAUUUUGUGGAGAUUGUUCCACAUUUUGGGGAAAAAAAUCUUGUCCAUACCGGUCCCAUGAUACUUCCAUCUCCUGCUUUCCUAAAGCCCUCCUUUUUCCUCUUUACUCCUCUUUUAUGUUCUUGACGUUGUAUCUUCAGAAAAUAAUAUCAACUGCCUUACUGCCACCUUAUCAAAAUCUUCUUACAUCUCAAUGGCACAAGAUUGCCACCUAUCAAUUUAACUCAUGCAGCCUCCUCCAAUUCCUUAGAAAGCAUUUUUAUCCUUCAUUACCAAAAGACAAAAUGGUAAACAUAACAAGAUAUAGUCCUUUCUAUACUAUCGUUGCUGCCAAUAAACCAUGCACAAACAAUAUCCCUUUGAUCUUCAUAUGUUAAGAAUACUAGAUAAGCACAUAAUAUGCACCAAAAACAAUGAUUCAUUCUAGCACUACAAGAUACACAUCCGAUGUGAUAGUUUCAAGCUAAUGAGUGCUAAUUGUUCAUAUAAGGAUCACCUGAGAGGCAAAAAAGAUUGGGUUUCUUUUCACUCCAAUAAGCUGUCAAACAACACGUUUUAAUGAAACAAAGAAUGCUGUCCAUUUGAAGCCUACAGGAACUUUAUCAUAAAUAAAUAAAAUAAGAGAGUAGAUGAAACAGGAAAUUAAUCUUGCCUUAGCAAUCAAGAACCAACUUUUCCGUCAGAUGCUUAGAAAUUGCAGAUGCAUCACUCAACUGACUGUUUGUGGCAAGCAAUUAGUUUCUGAACAAAGGAUAGAUGAAUCACCAAUAUCUUACUGGCUGAAGAGAACACCAAGAGGCAGAGGUCGCUCUAGGGGCGUGUGUACAGAGGUGCGGAGAGUGGAGAUGCAUUGGGCCAUGAUGGCCAAGGAGUUCAAAGCAGUUCAUCUCAGCAUGUACGGUGCACAUGAGACGAAGCACAGCUCGAUACAGUCUCCCAUCCAGUCUGAAAAUUUAGAAAAAAAACAGUUUUCCUGUCAUUUAUGUUACUUGAUAAAUAGACUGACACUUUAAACUCAUGAACUUCUAUCGGUUUUCUUCUUAGACUCCCUCAAAUCAAUUCAUUGACGAUGUGGAUAGGUGCUUAACCACAAGCAACAGGCCUUAUCCAGCAUAACAGGAGUCAGCAUUAUGGAUCUUAUUUAGCCAUUUAUUUCUAGCAAUCUGGACCAACCAUUUUAUGCAAACAUCUCCAAUCCUUCCUCAACAUUUUGUGCAACACUUCCACUCUGUUAAGCAGUAUUACGCAUACACCAUCCAUUCCUCGGCCUUAUAUCCCAAUCAAUAGUCAUUGCAGCAAUGAUCCCUCUGUACACUCCUGAAAAAAUCAAAACAACAUGAUUGUUACCUCUUUCCAGGACACUGAGAACCAAAUUUCGUUGGAUCAUAGCAUUGGCUGUUCAAGGGGUUGACAGAUCCUCACUUUAACAGGCGCUCGCUUGUUGGUAAAGCACUAUCUUGUCCAUGUCCAGCCUCACAAUGUUCCCAUCUCCGGCAACCCUAAAGCUAUCUUGGUUUACCACCUUGUUAAACUCUACUUAUCGCGAUGGCAUGAUACAGUUAUCUCUGUUCUCACCUUCAAUAUUUAUAUUUGCAAAACAUAACAUUCUUCUAUCAAUAUGAUGAUACCGACAAACGAUACACAACCGUGUCCUUGAGUUAGAAAUCACGUAAAGAAGGAGUGUUUCUAAGCUAAUUCAAGUUCCUAAACCAGAGUAGGUCAAAUUCAAAUGGCGUUUUCUUUUUCGUUUACUCCAGAGGACUAUGCAAAAAUAUGCGUUUCAUGGUAAAUAAAGAAGAAAGUAAAUGGACAAGAGAAUUGAUAUGGUUUGAGUGAUCAAAAAGAAACCUUUUCGAAGGAACUGGGAGAUUACCAAACCAUUGCUCUCUAGGGUUUAUGUAGACCGGAUGGGCCAUUCGUCCUCUCAGAGCCAGGCGACGGACUGACUGUGGGGCCGAGAACAAGGAGACCAAAACCGCCCUGGAAUCAGGACCCGGAUCAGGAUCGCUCCAAUCCGCCGCGAGAUGAAGCAUCUCCAUGGGCGGUGAUCCAGGAAAUAUUAUUGGUUGAACCAGGUCCACCGCGCCAUUCUUGGACCAGGUCGAUGAGCAUAGAGGGAAAAAUAUCUCUGAUUUCAUCGAUGGGUGCGAGAAAAACGCCGAUGGAAAAAAAAAAAAAUCACCCCAUAGUUUUGGUCUUCGCUGGUUUAUUCCGGAGGUCGAGCUCCGCUUCCACUGGUCGGACUCGUUCAGUCGGGCAUGGAGUUUAGAGUAAUUCAAAGAAACUUUAAAUUGCUUCCGUAUUUUGGUUUAUGAAUAAAAAGAAGAGAUGAAAAGAGGAAAAAGAAUAGAGAAAUAAAGAAACAAGAUGUCUGAGGCAAGAAAAGCCGAAGGAAUUAGUGGAAGAAAGUUGUGGAGGGUUAAGGAAGUUUGGAUCAAGAAGAGGAGAAGAAGGUGAGAGCUAGAGAGAGAAGGUAGAGGAAGAAGCAAGAAAGGAAAUCUGGUGAAGAAAGAAGGAAGCGGAGAAAGGAAAAUUCUUGGAAGGGUAUAUAGUAGCUUCGCUAGAAUUUGGUCCGGAGCACGACCUAUUUUGCGAUUUUCCUCGCGUGCGUCUCUGGAACGUAGAUGGAUAUAUAGGAGGAAAAG
rnacentral:lncRNA from 1 species